GAGUGAAUUACAGGACAUCCAGGGCUACAC
rnacentral:piRNA from 1 species